CCUGGCGACAAUAGCGAUGUGGUCCCACCUGAAUCCAUUCCGAACUCAGAAGUGAAACGCAUCAGCGCCAAUGAUAGUGUGGGGUUUCCCCAUGUGAAAGUAGGUCAUCGCCAGGA
rnacentral:rRNA from 1 species